rnacentral:lncRNA from 15 species
AACACUGCCUGCUUCGUUGGUGACAGAAGAACACGAGUCUAUACAAGAACUGAAGGAGAAAACAUCAGAGCUUUGUGUCACUUUGAUUUCUCUUUGUCUGGAAGACAUAAGAUCUUCUGUAAGGGAGAAUGUGAAGAAAAAGACAUUCUCAUUGAAACAUAUGAGGACAGAGCUCAGAGUGGCAGAUACAGCAUCCAAUAUAAACACUUAGAUCCUCAACCAUUUAUUAUAUCUAUGGAUGUGAGCAUCACAAAGCUGACAAAGUCUGACUCAGGGUGGUACAGAUGUAAGGUGGACAGAUCUACAGAUUCUUACGAUGACUUUGAGCUCAGAGUUGAAGAUGCUCCAACCGCUUCAAAACCAAACUGGAAAACCACCACCAAAGCACCUUUUAAACCAUCAGUCCCAUCAGCCUCCACACCGACAACAACACAGAGUUUAAGCUCCAGUUCAGGAAGCUCCACACCUUCAUCGUCCUCCCCUGAAACCACCAACCAGCCUGAACAGCAACAGAGAGCUGCAGGUCCAGGUGUGCAACUGUAUGUACGUCUGACUGUGGUCAUCACGAUCAUGGUAUUAUCAGCAGCUGCACUGAUAUUCUGCAGGAAGAGGGCCAGUGAACCAAAAGAAUCUCCUGUGGAGUAUGUUAAUGUCACAGAGGUGAGUACAUUUUGGACAUUGAAUGUUUUAAAUGUUUGGUUUGUGUUAAAAUCAGUUGGUUUCACAAAGCCCUGUUCUCUUCCUGCAGGCCAGGAUCAGAGAGGAGGACAGACAGAGCAGAUCUCCUCCUGAAGAAAUGUCUACAGUUUACAUUCACUGCAGCCAGUUCUCAGAGUAAGGUGAGUUCAAACUGUGGUAGGGGUUUAAAGGUACAGGACAAACCAAACAGGUUGUUUCAGUUGGUUACAAUCUGCAAUCUCACCACUAGAUGACACUAAAUCCUACACACUGCUCAUUUAACUUUGGGUUUAGACAACAGUGUCUUUAGACUUCACCCACUAUAAUAAGUUGAGUAGAUAACAACGUACAGCAGAGGGAUGAUUUACAGUGGCAAUAUAGAGAGACUGUGGACAUGUUUUAUAAAUGUGGUCUCACAAGUACUUUACGUCAGUGUAUGUUUCUGAGUAACGUGCAGUCUUUUUAAGAAACAGGAACCCGGCCAGUUUGUGAUCAUAUCUCCAGCUACAAGAUUCUGUGGGUUUGAGGAGGAAGUCCUCGGACUGAAUGUUUCAUUGCAAAGAGAGAGGGAAAGGUUGUGUACUGAGAUACAGGGUUCAAUAUCAAAUAAAGAAUGUGCAGAUAAAAGCCUGUUUACAGUUCACAUGAAGCAGCACACAUGCUGAAAUGAUGCUUAUGUGACCAAACAGGUGAGUAAACUCAACAAC